rnacentral:rRNA from 1 species
CAGCCAUGCCGCGUGAAGGAUGACGGCCCUAUGGGUUGUAAACUUCUUUUAUUGAGGAAGAAACUUAUCUACGUGUAGAUAACUGACGGUACUCUACGAAUAAGGAUCGGCUAACUCCGUGCCAGCAGCCGCGGUAAUACGGAGGAUCCAAGCGUUAUCCGGAUUCAUUGGGUUUAAAGGGUCCGUAGGCGGGUCUUUAAGUCAGUGGUGAAAGCCGACAGCUCAACUGUCGAACUGCCAUUGAUACUGGAGACCUUGAGUACAAAUGAAGUAGGCGGAAUGAGUCAUGUAGCGGUGAAAUGCAUAGAUAUGACUCAGAACACCGAUUGCAAAGGCAGCUUACUAACAUGUAACUGACGCUGAGGGACGAAAGCGUGGGGAGCGAACAGGAUUAGAUACCCUGGUAGUCCACGCCGUAAACGAUCAUCACUCGCUGUUGGCGAUAUACUGUCAGCGGCCAAGCGAAAGUAUUAAGUGAUGCACCUGGGGAGUACGCCGGCAACGGUGAAACUCAAA